rnacentral:rRNA from 1 species
AACGAACGCUAGCGGCAGGCUUAAUACAUGCAAGUCGAGGGGCAGCAGCUUUGUAGCAAUACAAGGGCUGGCGACCGGCAAACGGGUGCGGAACACGUACGCAACCUUCCUUUAACUGGAAGAUAGCCCACGAAGGUGGAUUAAUACUCCAUAACAUAUUGAAGAGGCAUCUCUUUGAUAUUAAAGCUCCGGCGGUUAAAGAUGGGCGUGCGUCUGAUUAGGUAGUUGGCGGGGUAACGGCCCACCAAGCCUUCGAUCAGUAGCUGAUGUGAGAGCAUGAUCAGCCACACGGGCACUGAGACACGGGCCCGACUCCUACGGGAGGCAGCAGUAAGGAAUAUUGGACAAUGGGCGAAAGCCUGAUCCAGCCAUGCCGCGUGAGUGACGAAGGUCUUCGGAUUGUAAAACUCUUUUAUGAGGGAAGAACCGGCCUGGGGAGGGAAAUGCCCUGGGUCUGACGGUACCUCAGGAAUAAGGGGACGGCUAACUCCGUGCCAGCAGCCGCGGUAAUC